rnacentral:rRNA from 1 species
AUUGAACGCUGGCGGCAGGCCUAACACAUGCAAGUCGAGCGAGCGGCGGACGGGUGAGUAAUGUCUGGGAAACUGCCUGAUGGAGGGGGAUAACUACUGGAAACGGUAGCUAAUACCGCAUACCAUCAGAUGUGCCCAGAUGGGAUUAGCUAGUAGGUGGGGUAACGGCUCACCUAGGCGACGAUCCCUAGCUGGUCUGAGAGGAUGACCAACCACACUGGAACUGAGACACGGUACAUGCACGUGCGCGAGGCAACAGUGGGGAAUAUUGCACAAGGUGAGCAAGCCUGAUGCAGCCAUGCCGCGUGUGUUAAGAAGGCCUUAGGGUUGUAUGGCACUUUCAGCGGGGAGGCGUUAACCGCAGAAGAAGCACAGGCUAACUCCGUGCCAGCAGCCGCGGUAAUAC